GUACACGCUGUGACUAGCAUAUCAAUAAGCGGAGGAAAAGAAACUAACAAGGAUUCCCCUAGUAACGGCGAGUGAAGCGGGAAGAGCUCAAAUUUGAAAUCUUAAAGGGUUUCCCUUUACGAAUUGUAGUUCAAAGAAGUGUUUUCUGUUGAGGUUUUGGUAAAAGUUCUUUGGAAUAGGACAUCAUAGAGGGUGAGAAUCCCGUAUUUGACCUUUACUUUCAACUUUGUGAUACACUUUCAAAGAGUCGGAUUGUUUGGGAAUGCAGUCCAAAAUGGGUGGUAAAUUUCAUCUAAAGCUAAAUAUUGGCGAGAGACCGAUAGCGAACAAGUACCGUGAGGGAAAGAUGAAAAGAACUUUGAAAAGAGAGUUAAACAGUACGUGAAAUUGUCAAAAGGGAAGCGUUUGACACCAGUGUUGUUUUUCUGAAAAUCAAUUAAAGAACUGUUUAUGCUAAGUUGUUUAGACUUUAUCAGCUAACUGUUUAGUUUUGAGCUUUUCUUUAAUGCACUUUUCAGUUAACAAGUCAACAUCAAUUUCUUUUGCUGUAAAAAGCUUGAGGAAGGUGGCUUGAGAUUCGUCUUAAGUGUUUAUAGCCUCUUGCCUAUGCAGUCGGAGAGAUUGAGGUCUGCAGCGUAGAUCCUUCGGGGCUAAAUGCAUUUGUGCUAAGUUAUAGCAUUGUAUAGACAACUUGUUGACUAUGAUUUGUCUUGUAGCUUACUCGCUUAUGUUAUUUUACCUACGCUUAGGAUGUUGAGUCGUAGAGCACGCAG
rnacentral:rRNA from 1 species